UACAGAGGUCCCAAGCGUUGUUCGGAUUCAUUGGGCGUAAAGGGUGCGUAGGCGGCGCGGUAAGUCGGGUGUGAAAUCUUGGAGCUUAACUCCGAAACUGCAUUCGAUACUGCCGUGCUUGAGGACUGGAGAGGAGACUGGAAUUUACGGUGUAGCGGUGAAAUGCGUAGAUAUCGUAAGGAAGACCAGUGGCGAAGGCGGGUCUCUGGACAGUUCCUGACGCUGGAGGCACGAAGGCCAGGGGAGCAAACGGG
rnacentral:rRNA from 1 species